UGGAUUUGGGAUUUGAAUGACGGACGGAAACCCGAUCUCUUCUCCCUCCUUUUCUCCCUCUUUCCCUCUUCAUACAUUCUAAAACCCUAACUUCAGAGGCGUCGGAGUUGGAGUCGGAGUCGUUGCAGAUUUGAACAACUUCAGGGUCGUCUUCAACCAACCUUCAAUUGCUGCUCGUGCAUAGAUGAGAAAUCUUCCAGAACUAUGCAUUCGUGCCUUGCUUCUUGACAUUCUCUUGAGGUUAAGCAGUGCCUGUAGCCAAAAUCCCAGAAUGAUUACUCUGUUUUUGAGUUCGAAUCUGUAGAAACUAAUGUGCUUUCUUCUUCUUCCUUCUCCUUCUUAAAUCGGCAUCCUAUAUGAACCAAUACAUUAUGCAGAAAAACACAGGAGGGUUUCGUGUUGCAGAGAAGAAGAGGAGAGAGGAGAGAAGGGAAGAAGUCGAUGAACCGUCGGAUUAAUCGGAGUCCACAUGUCGAUCAUCGGAAAAAUCAUUGAACGCUCAUUGGAGCGUCAGUCGUUGGAGACGAGCCGGAUCCCCCACCCCACAUCACACUCCAACCCCACACCUUCCACCUCUGGCCUAGCACUGCACUAAUUACGAUCAUAUGACACAGCCCCUAGUGUACUAGUACUGGUAAGGCUCCCUUUACUUGAGAGUAGUAGAGGUCCCAAGAGAUUUGGCUUUAACCUUUAGUGAUCUCAGGUAUUGGAUUGCUUCAUCAAGGAACCUUACCAACAUCUAUUCUGGAAGCAGCAGAAAGAAACUUCAAGAAUGGCUCCUUUAAUAAAAUUCUUUACUGCUACAAACUUAUACUUUGAUCCUCCUUCCUUCCUUCCUUCCUUCAUCCAUUUUCUCCUUCUCUUCUUUAUCUUCUGAGGUAACUCAGGUUAGUAUUCUUUAAUGACUCUCCGGCUUUGAUUUUGUUUUCGCUUCAUGUUUGGUCAGUUGGCUUUUUCAUCCAGAAAAAAAAAAAAAAAAAAAAAAAUUAUUUGUCUUCUUCCUCACAGCGAUGGCCACAUCUUCUAAUCCUAUUUUUUAAUCUGAUUCUAGUUUAAGGAACCAAAUCUGUUAUCAUUCGUCAAUCGUCGUCGUUUUCUAUUUAUUAUAAUAACAACAAGAAGGAUUUCAAUUAUUUUCCCCCGUGGAUAUGAACAGAACCAGUCUCACUAACGUUGGUUUUGUCUUCGAUUUCAGUUUAUUAGGAGGAAAGGUAGGUAAGGGAAGUCAAGCAUAAAGAAGGGAUUUUUCCAUGGCUAAGAUCAAAAUUUUAUUUGCAGGCAUGGAGAAUGAUUCUUGGAUUACGUCUCUUACUUGUGCAAGCUCUGCUACUCAAAGAUUUAACCUAUUACCUAGUUACUUCCCUUCCCUGAACAAAGAGAAAACACAGAAACACCCCUAGAAUCCACAACAAGGUACUCCUGCAACUGUCCCCUCUCUCGCCCUGGUUUUUGAAAUCUUCCCUAAAACAGAACCCUGAGAGCGAGAGCGAGAGCGAGAGCGAGAGAGAGACAUACCUACGAGAGCUGCCUGAGCGACGGGAGUGGGCGGUGAGAGCUGCGUGAGAGAGACGGAGAUUUUAUGAAAAGAGGGUUUUGAGGUUUUUAUCGGGGACAAUUUCCUUUUUUAUUUUCCUGAAGAUCAUCUUGAAAUUGAAGUAAUACCUCAAAGGUGUUACUUGAUCCCUACUCUUGAGAUGACUUUUGAGUCGGUUCAUUUUCUGAGCAUAGGAACAAGAGAGAUGUUACCAAACGCUUUUUUUUUUUCCCUAGUUCUGUUCUAAAAUGAAAUCUAUAACAGAAAAGAUCAUCUCUGAAUCGUUACCAAACAGGCUCUAAGUACACACCGCUCCGCAAGCAACCUGCACUAUUGUUUUCAUGUGCUGAGCUAUCAAUCCUGAAGGUUAUACUCUUGCACCUCUCGAGGACGACAGCUUGUAGACAUAUGAUCUUUCUGUAGGGAUACCCACUCCAUACGAGCAGUAUAUCUCCAUAUCUGGAGCAUCAGACUCUAUCGUUGUUUGGAGAGACGAGAAGAAGAAAGAAGACAAGAUGGAGGAGGAAGAAAGGACUGAACUACAAUAGAUCCAGAAUAUGGCAAAUGCAACCAAUAGAGCUAACUUACAGUGUUUAUCGGAUCCAGGAUUUCUGAAGGCACACCCUCAAUUUCGGUGGGGAUCUCUAACCCAAACACUUCAGUCUUUUGGUAACUAGCCUUCAGUAGACUGCCAGAGUGAAUGGCAUCGAUAAUCUUCCGAGUGUAUGACAACUUGAUGCGGUUACCUGAGCCAUAUCUACAAGGAAGAAAUAGAAGCAACAGCAAGGAGUGAGCCAAAAUCAAACCAUCUGUAAUUACAAAAGUAGCAUCUUUUGUAGUUAAUAUCAUAACAGCUUCUACAUACCUUCCACCAGACCAGCCAGUGUUGACAAGCCAUCCUGUAGCUCCAUGCUUCUGCAUCUUCUCAGCCAGCAAGGCUGCAUACUUGGUGGGAUGCAACAUUAGAAAAGCUGCACCAAAACAGGCUGAGAAUGUUGCCUGUGGUUCUUUUAUGCCAUCCUCUGUGCCAGCCACCUAUUUCAUCAUCAAGAGGCAAGUCACUGAAAUGGUCAUCCCCUAAUAUGUAAAUGGAUUUUGAAGUGCACAAGGAAUUAUGCAGGUGUGCCAAUUCUGGAGCAAAUGUGGAUUUUGGAUACAUAACAGAAUAAACAGUUUAUUUCUAACA